CAAAUUAUUUUUCACUUGCUGAGUUUUAUCUGCAGCUUAUUUUGCAUGCUUGAAUAGUUGUGUUGAACAAACCUUGAAAAAUAAUUGAAUCGGUUCUGAAUCAUCCAGGAAUCUGAUGGUGCACUGAUAUUCCACUUGUGGGUCACCUUUUUUACUGUUCUUUCGAAACAUCUCAAAAAUGCAAAUAAAAUCCAACCGAAAAACCUUAAAUGUUUAUAUUUGCACUUUUGAUAUCCACAUCAAUGCAAAAUGGAGUAACAAACCGGCUUGGUCACAUGACUUGAGUUCAAGGUUAUAAACCGGAAGUUGUCAUCUGCUUCAAGCACCUGUUCAACUUGUCUCUCUAUCAUAUUUUGGCAUGAUUUUGAUUUUAAUGGGAGUGUGUGGUUCUGGAAAG
rnacentral:lncRNA from 1 species